rnacentral:lncRNA from 1 species
CCUUCUGAGGACAGUGCCCCGAAGAGUUGAUUCCCCCGGCACCUCCCGCUCCCUCUCAAAGCACCGCCUGUUCUGCGGGUCUGCCCCCAGGCGGGCAUAAACACCCCCAGCGAGGAAUGGCCCCAGGCAGCACUGGAGCCCUCCGCUCCCUCCACCACCGGGUCUGUCCCAGCUAGAGGGAGGGGAGAGGGAGAGGGGGCUUCCCUCUGGCUCAGAAUCGUCCACCCUGAGUAAUUAGCUGCCAAAUAAAACGCAAACUCGCCAAAGGAGAUCAGAGGUCCCCCCACAGCUUCUCCAAACUCCUCCUGCCCCAGAGGCUGCUGGGAGGGCCAGAAACCCCAGGAGGCCAGAAAGCCACCUGCUGGGGCACAGGGUCUCUUUUCAGAUCGGAAGCUAAAACCCUCCUUUCAAGCCCUCCCCUGUCAGGCCUGCCGAGCCAGCCCACACCUUCUCUCUCAGGGCUGGCACUCUGGCCCCUCGCCCACCCGCUCCUCAGCCUAGGAAUGGAAAAUGGGUUUGGCAGACACCACUGGUCGCCUGCCGGUGUCCCUUUUCCUCUUGUCUGAUACUGUUCAGGCUGACUCUUGGUGGCCCCAUGGCCCAUGCCCCUGAUUUGUUUAGGGGGAGUGGGAAGUGCGGUCCAGCACAGCCAAGGACACAGGAAGGGAGGAGCAAGGAAGUUAGCAACAGAAGGAGAGAAGGAGAACAGAAGGCAUGCUGGGCAAAUCUUUCAGUCUCUCCCUGCCUCAACCUCCCCACCUGUAACAUGGGAAAUACAAGGUCCCUCUCCCAGAGCUGUUGGGGCUGGAACCAAACAGCCACCAUGGACCAUGAAGAGGAAGCCACUUGAAGAAGAGAGCUGGGGCUGGCCCGUGGCCGAGUGGUUAAGUUCGUGCGCUCUGCUUCGGCGGCCCAGGGUUUCGCUGGUUCGGAUCCUGGGCACGGACAUGACACCACUCAUCAGGCCACGCUGAGGCGGCGUCCCACAGAGCUCAACCAGAGGCACUCACAACUAGGGUAUACGACUAUGUACUGGGGGCUUCGGGGAGAAGAAGAAGAAGAAGAAAAAAAGAAGAUUGGCAACAGUUGUUAGCUCAGGUGCUGAUCUUUAAAAAAGAAAUAAAAAUAAACAAGAGAGCUGAGCAGCAAGAAAGAAUGAUUGACAUUGACUCUGAGAAACUUCUCUUCCACCUUCUAGGUUCUUGAUUGUUUGAGAGAGAAAUAAACUUCUGUCUUUGGGGCACUGUUUUUCUCCUCGGGGUGGUGUCUGUCACCCACAGCUGAACUUAAUCCUGGUCCCUACAGACUAGAACCUAGAUCUGUCUGUCCCCAAGGAACCUAUCCUCGGGGACCCUACCUAUCUACCGAGGAGCCCACCACUCCGUCUUAAGUCCUGAUGGAAGGCUGCAGUGCUCAGGAUGUGCCAAUGAGAGGCCCAUUAGAGCAGGCAAGCCCUGGCUCCAGCUGAGCCUCCCGUGCCGAGUUCUGGUUAGAAGGUGCCGGUGGCCACCGUGGAGUUCCCGAAAUGGCUGGAGGUUCAGUUUGGCGGAAGGGCAGGAAAAGAGCUUGACGAGUGGGGAGGCUGAGGACAGAGGACUGGCUGGAGAUUACAUGCUGACUGGCUUAAAUCCAGCAUUUGGGAAAGCAGGAAGUCCACCCAAACCCACCUGCAGACAGUUAGAAGAGCGUGGAAGCGAGGAGGCCUCACGCGGCCGACCUCACCCUCGGAGUGCCUCUGGGAAGGUCUCCCCCUCCAGCGUCUUAAGGCCAGCUUACACCGCCCCUCCCCUGAGGAGGCCGCUCUCAUCCUCUGCCCUGGUUGAGCAUAGGACACCUGCAACAAACCAUUUCCACGUCUGCUCCACCGCCAGCAUAGGAGUUUCUCAAGGAUAAGACCUGCGUCUCCUUUAACUCUGUGUCUAGCACCCAGCAUCCAGUAGGCACUCACUACAUGUUAGUUGAAUAAAUAAAUGAAUGACUGCAGAGGAGCAAGCUAAUCGUUCAUCAAGUUUAUGGAUGACAUGAAAUUGGGAGCGGUUUCUAGCCAGAGGUUGGAAUCGUAAAGCAGAUUGGCUUUUGCAAAUGAGAAUAUGACAAGGCUGAAUCGGAACCGGAUGACGUUCAUUAAGUAACUAGUUUGAAGAAGUCGCUGCAAGUCUGAGAGCUGGGGUGUGAUGGUUUCUGCGCAUAUUCUAAGGCAAGCUGUGGGUGGCAGACUGGAUGGAGCAAAGAAGCUGGCCAUCAAGGGCUGGUCUCCCCUUUGAGGUCAGUUUGUGGGCUUGUGACAAACAAGACCCAGGAAAGUCCUUCUGUCUCCAGAAAGGCGCUUCUAGCACUGUAUUUGGGGAGAUGCAGGGAAGCAAGAAAAAACAUUUAAAAUAGUGAAAGGAAAGACAAAUUGGAUUUCUGAAGUCGCGUUACAGAGACUGGGGUUGCUGCAUCUGGAAGGAAAAGAGAGAGAAAACCGUUUCCCAACUGUGCUUUAAUGAGCGGCAGCUCCCCAGAGUGAGACGGUGCCCCAGAGGGGAGGGACGGGCGAGGAGACUGUGGCAGUCCGCCCUGCCCCCACCGCAGCCUCGGGAGUUGCCGCCACCCCUGCUGUUUACGCUUUUAUCGUUUGCAAUGAAGGACGAUGAUGUGUGUGUGCGCUGUAUUGAUUGUGCCUCUUAGAUUUUUAUGUCACUGUGGAAAGCAGCAAUUAUGCUUGCCAGCUCUGGAGGGAGCAAACGGCCCUGGCGGGGGAGGACGGCGCAGGGCCGGGAGAGCUCACGAGGCAGCCGGAGGGGUCCAGCUCGGGGGCUGGGGGCACGAGGCAGGUAGCACAGGGGCACGGGCUGAUUGAGACUGAGAAAGGACGGGAGUCCCACUAAGGGGAUGCACCAUCCACCCUAGGCUAUAGACAUUUAUUAAGUACCUAUGGUGUGCCAGCAACUCAAGUCAUUGUCCCACACUCCUCUGAGAGCCCUCCAGUGGCUUCUCUUUUGCAUUUACAAUAAAUCCAUCCUGCUUACCAAGACUGACCCCAGCACACCCCUCCAGAAUCACCUCCAUCCUCUCCUUUCCUCAAUCCCAGCUGUCCAGCCAUCUGGCCUUCUUCCUGGUCUGCCCACUCACCGAGCUUGGCCCUGCCUCAAGGCCUUUGCCCUUGCUAUUCCCUCUGCCCGGAAUGCUAUUCCCCACACUCACCCAUGUCAUUUUCUUCCCAUUCAAGUCUCAGCUCAGGUAUCACUUCCCCACAGAGUCCCGUCAUGAGGAUCCCAGGACAUGUUCACACCAGUCCCUCUGUCACACUGCCUUCUUUUCUUUUCUUCAUGGCACUUUUCAUGCUCAGAUAUAUUCUUGUCUUUUUAUGGGUUCAGUGUCUGUCUCUCCCACCAAAAUGUAAAUGCAAAAAGACGAGGGAGCUUAUCUCUUCUUGACCACUGUGCCGCCAGCACCUAGAGGAGUUCUUGGCACAUGACAUGAGUGUAAUGAAUGUCGAUAAAUAUUGUUAGCUCCAGUUACCAGUAGAGGAAAAUGAGGCUUAGAGAGUUUAUUAAUUAGGACUGUGUUUGACUGUAAGUAACAGAAUAUCCAACAAAUACGCAGAGGUGGGUAAUUGCUGACACUGGUCCAGUUGCUCAGUGAUGUCCUCAUAGGCUGUGGAACUUCCUGUCUUCUGCCCGGUUCUUCUUAGGCCAUUACUCUUAGCUUGCCCCUCAUGGUCACAAAGUAGCUGCUGCUGCUCCUAACAUAAUUUGGCAUUCAAAGUAGGAAAGAGAGGAGAAGGCAAAAUUCUGAUCCAGCCAAGUACAUCUUCCUGUUUAUUGCACCUUUUCCGUUUCCUGAAUGCCCCUCAGUAGGAUUCUCCUUCCAGCUCAUUGGCCUGAUCUGUGUCACUUGCUGCAAGAGAUAUUGGGAAACUGAGCUUUCUGGGGUCCAUAAUAGAGGAAGGCAAAGGAGAGGUGGGUUGGACAGGAGUGUUAAGUGAGCUAGCCUCAGUGAUGGCCACAGAGAGGUGAGGAGAAUUGCUCAUGGCCACCACUACAAACAGCAGCACCGGGAUUUGAGCCCACAUCUGUCUGACCACAGAGUCCACACCCUAUUUGUCACACUCUUGUGCUUCCCUCCUGGCAUCUGGGUCAGAGAGUAAAGGCACGAGAGCAGAUUCCAGAAGUGCCAUCAGGUCUUUAGCCUAGCAC